UGCAGUCGAACGAGAAAGUUUCCUUCGGGAAGCGAGUACAGUGGCGAACGGGUGAGUAACACGUGGGUUACCUGCCCUCGAGUGGGGAAUAACCUUGGGAAACCGGGGCUAAUACCGCAUACGGUCUACGGACUAAAGCUUUAUGCGCUCGAGGAGGGGCCCGCGGUCGAUUAGCUAGUUGGUGAGGUAAUGGCUCACCAAGGCAUCGAUCGAUAGCCGGCCUGAGAGGGCACACGGCCACACUGGCACUGAGACACGGGCCAGACUCCUACGGGAGGCAGCAGUGGGGAAUCUUGGACAAUGGGGGAAACCCUGAUCCAGCGACGCCGCGUGAUCGAUGAAGGCCUUCGGGUCGUAAAGAUCUUUCAGCGGGGACUAUAAUGAAGGUACCCGCAGAAGCAGGAGCGGCUAACUAUGUGCCAGCAGCCGCGGUAAUACAUAGGCUCCAAGCGUUGUUCGGAAUUACUGGGCGUAAAGCGAGUGUAGGCGGUGCGACAAGUCGAUUGUGAAAUCUCCCGGCUCAACCGGGAGGGUGCGGUCGAAACUGUCGGACUGGAGUCCGAGAGGGGAGAGUGGAAUUCCUGGUGUAGCGGUGAAAUGCGUAGAUAUCAGGAGGAACAUCGGUGGUGAAGACGGCUCUCUGGAUCGUGACUGACGCUGAGACUCGAAAGCGUGGGGAGCAAACAGGAUUAGAUACCCUGGUAGUCCACGCCCUAAACGAUGCGUACUUGGUGUCGGCUCUUCACUGGGUCUGUGCCGGAGUUAACACGUUAAGUACGCUGCAGUCGAAUGCAGUCGAAUGCAGUCGAAUGCAGUCGAAUUGAC
rnacentral:rRNA from 1 species